AUUAACUUUAGGCUUUAAGCGAUGACGAGAUGUCCAAACACGAGUCAACAUUUCAUGUAACUUAUCUUCAACUGGACUGUCAGAACAGCAAGCUGGGACGUAGAGAGGAUGAAGUCAAGAUCUGACAUUGACUAAGAACUACUCUCUGGGGUCAUGGAAGCUUGAUAGGAACCUUGCAGCAGUGAGCAAUUGAUUUGUUUGAAAACGUAGAGUACGAAGCUUAAAUAUCUAAUGAACAUAAACUUUGUUUGACCUGAAGACUGCUUCGUAUCAACCCUUUCAGCCUACUUUUAGUUUCAUUCCGCACCCAUUUAACUUUGUUAUCCAUUCAGAUUUUCCAAGUUUUAUUAAUUAAUCUAUUAAUUAACUUAACAAAAAUCAACUCCUGUCUUUUUAAACCAGGUAUAAGGAAAUAAUAACGUAGGAGUUAAGCUUAGAAAUUGCAUUAAAACUGUAUAUUACAUGUAUUAUUUAGUAUGUUAGUAUUUACUACAUUUCAAAGAACUUUUUUUGUAAGAAAUCCAAUUAUAAAUGUGUAUAGAAAUUUUUUUUUAUUAAGUUACAAGAGUAUUGAGGAGUGAAUAUACACAUUUAUAAAAGUCCAGUCCUGUGAGGAUACUUACAAGUUAAGAAAGAGUAAAAAAGUCACACUUGUGUUAUUUUUAUGCCAAAAAAAUAACAAUAAACCGAUUUGUUUCUAU